AUUCUAAAUCUGCAUGUUUCUUUUUAGAAACCUAUCAGCAAAAAAUGAACCUAAAGUAUGUAAUGCAAGGAUGUAAUCACUUUCAAGAGGGAGAAAACAUAAAGUUCGACUUUAAGUGACAACUAUGGACACCUAAUAUGACAAGCAGAUUCUGCAGGUCAUUAAUCAAUGUAUAAAACUAAAACAGAAUGUAUUUUUAGUGACACAGGACACAAACAAGGAAGCAAGAUGUGUAAUUAGGAUUAUUUAUAAUAAAUAUGAAUUAAUUAGGGCAAUUUCUUUAACCAUAAAGAAUAACUAAAUCCUUCAGGACAAUGUCACAUCAAUGCACUGAACUCACUAUGUUAUCCCUCUAACAGAGCCUCUACAUGUUCUCACUGUAAUUUCCCCCUCACGAAUGAAUUUUUGCUAGCACUAAUUUGAAUGUUGGGGGGAAUCAAACGCAUUUUACUCGCAGUACUCAAGCUGACUUACCUUUGCUUGAAUGACGGCGUACUCACAACGUGGAGGCUUAAAAAUAGCCAAAUCUUGUACCCAGUCCUUGGUGAAUUGGAUGUGCGCCUCCAGAGAUUUAUAAUUGCGAAAUUGGUGCGCCGUGUAUGCUCUGACUCCACAGACAAGGUAUGAGAGUAGAUCAUGCUAAGUCAAUAGCGGUUUGGUCUUCAGGGUUUCUACUCCACGGCUAUAUUUCAUACGGGUCCACAUUUCAACAAUCAAGUACCGUCUCUUUGCAUCUGGACAGAAUCUGUCUCUAUACCGUCAUUUUCUUUUGAGCUACGUUUCAGAAUGGUUCGUAGCAAUCUUGUUUUGAUUCGUGACCUGCCAAGAUGGUGCUGCGCUCCCACAAUGCAUUGCGACAUUACGUCAACUCCAAAGCCCUUUGCGUGCAGGAGUGUAUGCGCAUGCGCAUUGCCACGGUGGUUUAAAAAAUAAAGAUAUAAUGAAAAGUAAUUAAUAAAAAUUAAAUAUUUAAACAUUCCCACAAAUGUGCAAUGAACGUGCAAAAACUCUCUUUAGUAGUUGUUACUGUUUCUUUCUUUCUUCUUCUUUUUUUUUUUUUUUUGAAAAAUAACGACGUCUCUGAGGCGCGAAAUCUGACAGCGAGAGGAACGGCCGGAUACAGGAGACGGGAAGAAACAAGCCGAUUAUGUUCGCGUUAAUUAAGUGGUUGGAAGAUGUAAAAUUCUCAAUUCUGCCAACUGAACAUAUACGAGAUUUUAAUGAGGAUGAAUAAUUAGCCGGCAUGGAGGAAACGGACCUUUAUUUCGUGGAGUGGCGACAAGAAGCCAAGGCGGGUGGCCAGUCUAAGAAGCCUCCAUCAUCAAGCUAGCAGGUGCCUUUUCCCAUAUAAUAUUACUUUAUUCUCGUGUAUUUGGAACGGAAGCGUAGAGCUGCCACCCAGGCAAAAGAGAAAUAUAAGUAUAUCACGUUAUAACGUGAAAAGUUUAUCGUUCUAACAAUAUACUAUCAUGUUUGAACAACAUGUUUGAACAACAUUGUACGAAAAAUGUACAUAAUUAUCACGUCCGUACAAAAUUGUGCGAACGUGACAAUUAUGUAUAUUAUAAUAACGUGAUAUUAUAUUAUACAAACAUGAAAAGCAUAAUGUUAGAACAAUAAACAUUUCACGUCAUAACGUGAUACAGCUCUAUUUUUCUUUUGCCUGGGUGGCAGCUCCACGCUUCCAUAAUUUGGUAAUCAAAAUAUGUAACUUAAUUAAUUAUAUUGUGACGUUUUGCCUUUUCCUUUUAUUCUGCCUUCUCAAUAACUAUCAAAGCCUAUUCACAUUUAAUUUGGCUUUCACAGAAAUCCUACCUCUCCUUCUGGCUACAGAGUACUUACCAAGCCCAUGAAAUCGAAUGCAGAUCUUCCUAAUGUGAGAUUUACAUAAAUAUGUCAAAGUCUCAACCUCAUGCUGCCCUCCCCCAUCCUCCUAAACCUGUGGAUACAAAUGCAGAUUUCCUUAAUGUUCAAUGGUGCGUGUUCUUCUAAUGGCCGCCUUCCCACUGGAGGUUUUGAUCCACAGCAAUUUAAAAGGAGGACAGAGCAAAACGGACAUCGGCGCAGAGUGAAGAACUGCCCUUGAUAAGGACACUAUGACAGCCAUAUAUAUGGCGGUAAGGAAGGGGUUUCCCAGCGUGUCCAGAAGGGCUUUGAGGAUUGCCGUGAAAGCUGGGGGAACUGAGACUGCCGGAAAAGGAAAAGAAAUUACAUUUUAAGUAUGCUGACUUAUGUUCAUACAAUCACACACACAUAUACACAUACACA